CCCCUCUCAGGUUCACACCUGGAGAGUUUCCAGGGCCCUACCAGUCUUGGCUAUGGGAGGGAGAGUCAGGCAGAGGCAUGCCCUUUCCAUUCCUAGCUUGGGCAGUGGCUAACAAGUGGAAGGUAAUCUGCUACAAGU